rnacentral:lncRNA from 1 species
CUGGGAUUACAGGCAUGAGCCACCGUGCUUGGCCCUAAUCUUUUUUUAAAAAACCUGAAAUCAAAAACAUACCUGACCCUAAGGGUGGUAGAUAAGGGAUAAAGGACCUAUCGUCAAAGCCCAGCGUAAGUCUAACAAUAAUAAUAAUAAUAAAAAAAUCACAGAUAAUUUUCUUGCUGUGUGACAUGGUAUCUACUUUUGGGGCUGUAGAUUAAGGCCUCUUUUAUUUCUAAAAGUUCUGCGUUAACAUUGAACAUUGGCCAAUCUAGAUUAUUUCUAAAGUCCUUCCAAAGACCUAGAGAUAGAGGCCGCCAAGAUUCCCUGUCAUUUCCCCCUUAAAGAGAAAUAUUCAAGAUCUGUGAAUAUCUGUGGCCAUCUCGGGAAUUCUGUGACACUUUUUGGCACUCUGACUUGAAGUAUUUAAUAGAUUUAUCAGCACACAGGAAAUUAAAUUGGAAGGCUUUCCUCUUACACGUCUAUCAAGUUAAAACUUUUCAGGAUAAAAUUUUUAUCAGUUUUAGUAACAUUCAUGUUAUGAAAUGGAACAUAAAUGCUACUGAAACUUAAUUUUUUUUUUUGUAGAGACAGGGUCUCAUAAUGUUGUCCUGGCUGGUCUCAAACUCCUGGCCUCAAGUGAUCGUCCUGAUUCAGCCCCUCCAAAGUAUUGUGAUUACAGGUGUGAGCCACUGUAGCUGGCCAAAACAUUUUAUUCUGAAGUGUAGUCUCUACAAAUUGUCUUUAAAAGUGUGAAUGGUAAGUUAAAUUCUUGCAUUACUUUUCUACCCAAAUAAAAUUACUUAAGGAAAAAUUUCCCCUCCCAUCUGUGUGGGCUCAAAUGGUGCAUCUUGUAAGUAAUACCCUUGCUUACUCAGAACACUCAGCUGAGUCAGGGAGAUUCUACACAAAGGUGUUUCACUGGUUUUAUUUCACAAGGAAACAAUAUGAAGCGAAGCCAAUCUAUUCCUUCUGUGGCUUUAAAUGCUCCCGAUCUCUCAGCUGUGAAAUAGUGAUAGCAUUGUCCAGAUCUUCCAGGGUCGUUGUGUGAGUUAGAGAUAAUUUUUAUCAUUUGCCAAAGCACAAGAGGGCCCUGAGUAAAGAAUGUGUGUAUGGGUAUCUUUGUAUGUUUAUAAUUACCAUUUCCAUCAGGAAGAACAGCAAGACUUCACUUAAUCUAAAAUAUUCGUGGAGUUAAAAUGUAGGGAAUAGAGAACUACGAUCUCUCUUCCACCAGCCAGAAGUGGAAAAUAAAGGAAGAUGCUAAGAGGAAAGCUGGGCGGUUUGAUCUCAUCUGAGAGGUGUUCUUGGCUGAGGAAGCAGGAGAUGUCCGACAACUGGCUGUGGAACCUGGCAGUGACAUCAGAAGAGCUGGGGAGCGAGCCCUAGGACCAGCAUUUAAUUUAUUUGAAGGUGUCAGAAGCUGAGGUUGCAGAAUUGAGUCCUUUUAGCAGCUACCGCCCCUGGAUGUAGUUUGUGAGAGGACGGGGAAUAAAGAGAAAGCAGACCCCGACCGGGCACAGUGGCUCACACUUGUAAUCCCAGCACUUUGGGAAGCCGAGGCAGGCGGAUCGCCUGAGGUCAGGAGUUCGAGACCAGCCUGGCUAACAUGGUGAAACCCCAUCUCUACUAAAAAUACAAAAAUUAGCCAGGCGAGAUGGUGUGUGCCUGUAGUUCCAGCUACUAGGGAGGCUGAGGCAGGAGAAGAAUCGCUCCAACCAGAGAGGGGGAGGUUGCAAUGAGCUGAGAUCGCACCACUGCAACUCUAGCCUGCGUGACAGAGUGAGACUCUGUCAAAAAAAAAAAAAAAAGAGAGAGCGAGAAAGCAGACUCCACAAGCUGACGUGGAGAUGAGUUUAUACUUAUGAUGCUUUCAGUGCCCUCGAUCUAUCCCUGGUGUAGGCAACAAAAUUAAUUCCCUCCUUUUAGUUAUUAUCCUUUUAUGCACCCUUGGGACAGCCAGGGCUGCUGGCUUCUGUGGCAGUGAAUUUCCCCUAGAAGGGGGCUUGGACAGUACACGUUCCCAGUGGCUCAUCAGAAGUACUUUCUGCAAGGGGAUUCUGUGGAACCUCAGGAGGUAUGCCUGGAGAAGCCACGGAAGCCCCAGGUGGCCCCUACUACUAAGGACACUGGUUUCUAGCCUGUGAGUCUCCUUUAGGUUCAGUGAGCUUCAUGUUCACCAGGAAGGAAGGCACGUUUUUUUCCUCCUUCCUUCUCUUCCACUCCCCUUUGAGAAAUGAAACCAUCUGAGGAAAAAGAAGGCUGGGCUUUGUAAUAUGGGUCAAACCAAAUGGUGACUCUCAAGACUGAGCAUACAUUAUAUUCACCAGGGAAGGGUUUUUUUGUUUUUUUGGUUUUUUUUUUUGAGACAGGGUCUCACUCUUGCCCAGGCUGGAGUGCAGUGGCACGAUCAUAGCUCACUGCAGCCUUGACUUCCUGGGCUCAAGCAAUCCUCCCACCUCAGCCUCCUGAGUAGCUGGGACCAUAGGUAUGUGCCACCACACUUAGCUAAUUUUUAAAAUUUUUUGUAGAGACUUGCUAUAUUGCUCAGGCUGGUGUCUAACUCCUGAGCUCAAGCGAUCCUCCUGCCUUAGCCUCCCAAAGUGCUGAGAUUACAGGCAUGAGCCACUGUGUCUAGCUGACUGGAGAAGCUUUUAAAAUAGACUGACAUACAUCUCCCGCUGCACAACAGCUAAGUCAGAAUCUUGGCGGUAGGGAGUAUGGAUUCUGUCUUUCCAGUUCUCUACAAUAACCUGAGGUGUGAUGACAUGAGCCAUUUUGCACACCACUGGAUACCCGAAAAUGCUACAAACACCUAUUCAGCCCCUCAUUAUGCCUGUCUGUCACAGGGAGGCUGGAAACCUAUAGCUAAGUAAGGAGACUGUGUGUGCUGUUCAUCAAGGGAACGUGUGACUUCCACACAUGCUGGACACCAGAGAUGAGGCCCAAGCUGGUGAAGGGCCCACAUGGAGGUAAGGAUCACAGGCUUGAUUGGGAGGGAAAGACAAGUGGAAAAUGGCAAGAAGAGGAGGAACUGGGAGAAGCAAAACAAGGCGAAGAUAAAUUUAAUAAUUUUCUUUAAAUAAAUUUGUUAUGCUAAAAAAAAAACCUCUAGUCAUUUUCUAGAGACUUCUUUUUGCCUUAGGGAUUCUUUAUAGUUCCUCUCCAUGUAACAUAUUGGGUAAUACUUGUGGUUCUGAAAUAAAAUGCAAGCAGGGGGGUGUACACAAAAACCUUACCACUGAAUCAAGGGACCAGCUGUGCAGACAUUAUGUAACAGUAAUAUUCUAUAGUUCUGAACAUGGCACUUGUGAAUCAAUAAUUUUAGAAUAUUUUAGAAAGGACAUUUAAAAAAAUCACAUAGGAAACAAAGUUAAAAUUUAGAAAAAAGUAGAAUAUUUUAUCCCAUCUUCUAAGCACCUCAAGCCUAAACAAAACACACAGAAUGAAAUUUUAAUGAUGCCUGUUAAGCCUAUUUGAAAACAAAUUCUAUCUGGCCCCCAUAAACGGAUGUUCAGGUGUUCAGGCAAUCAACUCCUUGGUUCUCCAAUCUGAAAUGUUCAAAGGAAGGAGGUAGAACUUGGGCAAGUUUAAAGCAUGUAGCUCUGUUGAAUCACUUCUAACCACCCCGCCCCCAGCUGAUGACCAAUUUUUACACUGACCACAGCUGAAAAUGUAAAUGCAAAUAAAAAGCUUGAGAUGUUAUUGGACGAGGUGUAUUAAAAUAAAAUCAAAAAUAGAAAUAUUAGGUAUAUACACAACAGCAUAAGUGAAACACAUCAUGUGAUACAGAAGUUUCCA